AUACAAGCGAGCGGCGGACGGGUGAGUAACACGUGGGUAACCUGCCCAAGAGACUGGGAUAACACCUGGAAACAGAUGCUAAUACCGGAUAACAACACUAGACGCAUGUCUAGAGUUUGAAAGAUGGUUCUGCUAUCACUCUUGGAUGGACCUGCGGUGCAUUAGCUAGUUGGUAAGGUAACGGCUUACCAAGGCAAUGAUGCAUAGCCGAGUUGAGAGACUGAUCGGCCACAUUGGGACUGAGACACGGCCCAAACUCCUACGGGAGGCAGCAGUAGGGAAUCUUCCACAAUGGACGAAAGUCUGAUGGAGCAACGCCGCGUGAGUGAAGAAGGGUUUCGGCUCGUAAAGCUCUGUUGGUAGUGAAGAAAGAUAGAGGUAGUAACUGGCCUUUAUUUGACGGUAAUUACUUAGAAAGUCACGGCUAACUACGUGCCAGCAGCCGCGGUAAUACGUAGGUGGCAAGCGUUGUCCGGAUUUAUUGGGCGUAAAGCGAGUGCAGGCGGUUCAAUAAGUCUGAUGUGAAAGCCUUCGGCUCAACCGGAGAAUUGCAUCAGAAACUGUUGAACUUGAGUGCAGAAGAGGAGAGUGGAACUCCAUGUGUAGCGGUGGAAUGCGUAGAUAUAUGGAAGAACACCAGUGGCGAAGGCGGCUCUCUGGUCUGCAACUGACGCUGAGGCUCGAAAGCAUGGGUAGCGAACAGGAUUAGAUACCCUGGUAGUCCAUGCCGUAAACGAUGAGUGCUAAAGUGUUGGG
rnacentral:rRNA from 1 species